GAAGGAAGUUUGACUGGGAAGUUCGCGUCCCGAAGAG
rnacentral:rRNA from 1 species